GUGAAGAAGAUGUCAAAAGGAGAACACCUAUGGUUACUUGCCAGACAUUGUUCCUUUGUAUAUUUAUAACUGUUGUUGAUACUGAAUAUGAAAAAUGAGUCACGGAGCUGAGGAAGAGGAAUGCAACUUUGAGGCCACCCUGAGCUACACAAGACCCUGCCCCUAAUGAUGAUGACCUCCCUCUUCAUUCUUCAGUUAGGGCCUGUCACCACCUAGUGGACUAUGUAGGAAUAAUACACCAAACAUCACCACAGUGGCCCACCUCUUCUGUUCCAGAACAAAUCUCUAGAUGGAGUCUUCAGAAUCAGCUUCCUGACCUCAAAACUGGCUAAAAGGUAGACUAGGUGUGGUGGAACAUGCUUGCAAUCCCAGCAUUUGAAGGCUGAUAUAAGAAGACUGCGAAUCCCAAGUCAGUCCAGGAUACAGGGAGAAAUUCUUUCUCACAGAAAAACAGAAACUGGGCCAGGACAUGCUGAUAUACACCUAAAUGCCAGUACUUGGGAAGAAGAGGCUGGCCUGGACUUUACUGUGCAUCCCAAAUGAUUCUGAACUACUGAUUCUCAUGCCCCUACCUUCCAAGUUCUGGGAUUACAGGUUUGUGUACAUGUAUGCAUUGUUUGCAGAAGCCAGAAGAGAGCAUCCGAUUCUCCGAGCCCACCGUGAAGAUAACCCUGGUGCCCUUGAAAAGCAGUCAGCCGCUCUUACCAACAAAGUCAUCUCUCCAGCCCCUAGGUCAUGCUUCUUUAAUUCAGUAGUUUUUGCUUAUAUAAAAAAACUAAAGCACUAAUUUGAAAUGUGGACUUAUGAACUAUGAAUGUGUGCAUUGGCACAGUGUAUAAUGUAGGCAAAAGUAGAACAAUCUGAAUGCCCAGGGUUAAAAAAGUUGGUUACAUAAACCAUGGCAAAGUUGUUCCCCUUCGAUGAAGUUGCCAUCCUACUAUUAAAAAUAUUUAUUAAAAUGAAUGUCUCAUGACUUGGGGAUAAUGCUCUAAAUGUAUAAGGGAAAGUGGGGUACAAAAAUACAUAUAUGAUUCUUAAUAAUUAAAAGAUGAUCUCAAACA